AGCGAACGCUGGCGGCAGGCUUAACACAUGCAAGUCGAACGGGCAUAGCAAUAUGUCAGUGGCAGACGGGUGCGUAACGCGUGGGAACGUACCUUUUGGUUCGGAACAACACAGGGAAACUUGUGCUAAUACCGGAUAAGCCCUUACGGGGAAAGAUUUAUCGCCGAAAGAUCGGCCCGCGUCUGAUUAGCUAGUUGGUAGGGUAAUGGCCUACCAAGGCGACGAUCAGUAGCUGGUCUGAGAGGAUGAUCAGCCACAUUGGGACUGAGACACGGCCCAAACUCCUACGGGAGGAAGCAGUGGGGAAUAUUGGACAAUGGGCGAAAGCCUGAUCCAGCCAUGCCGGGUGAGUGAUGAAGGCCCUAGGGUUGUAAAGCUCUUUUGUGCGGGAAGAUAAUGACGGUACCGCAAGAAUAAGCCCCGGCUAACUUCGUG
rnacentral:rRNA from 1 species